rnacentral:rRNA from 1 species
AUUGGACGCUGGCGGCAUGCUUUACACAUGCAAGUCGAACGGCAGCACGGGCUUCGGUCUGGUGGCGAGUGGCGAGCGGGUGAGUAAUACAUCGGAACGUACCCAGUAAUGGGGGAUAACUAGUCGAAAGAUUAGCUAAUACCGCAUACGCCCUACGGGGGAAAGCGGGGGAUCGCAAGACCUCUUGUUAUUGGAGCGGCCGAUGGCUGAUUAGCUAGUUGGUGGGGUAAAGGCCUACCAAGGCGACGAUCAGUAGCGGGUCUUAGAGGACGAUCCGCCACACUGGAACUGAGACACGGUCCAGACUCCUACGGGAGGCAGCAGUGGGGAAUCUUGGACAAUGGGCGAAAGCCUGAUCCAGCAAUGCCGCGUGCGUGAAGAAGGCCUUCGGGUUGUAAAGCGCUUUUGUCUGGGAGCAAAUCCUUGUGGCUAAUACCCACCGGGGAUGAGAGUACCAGAAGAAUAAGGACCGGCUAACUACGUGCCAGCCGCCGCCGUAA